rnacentral:snRNA from 1 species
GGAUUGAUUCAGCUGGUCCAGCUGGCAAAGCAACGCCUCCUCUCUCUCUCUCUCUCAUUUGCUCCCUGGGUACCUCUCCUGAAGGGACACACUUGGUCACUGAAGCAGGCCUCCCCUAGUGGAUGAGGGCCACUCUUCAGUCAAGAGUAUAGGAAAGGCUACUCCUCGUCAGAACCCUGAGCAGCUCUCAACGAAGUCCUAAGAGGGAUCUUCUGAUUCUAAUGAAGAUGCCGGUUUUCAGGGUGUGAAGCAGCCGCCAGCC